CAUUGUCUGGCUGAAGGGCUGUUGUGAAUGAGCUAGAGCUAUUGUUCUCAACUCAGCAGGAUGCUACAGGUGUGCCACAAGGACAGAGACAAAGAUGCUUUGGAGGGUGUCAACUAAGCACCCCCAGUACUUCAAUGACAAGAGGCAGGGUGGUCCAUGAGGAGCCAAGAGAGGGACAUCUGUGGAGCCAGAAGGAAGCAGACCGGCUACAGCAGCUUUUCUCAACCCAUGGGUUGCAACCCAAAAAGUCCCAGUGAUUUGCAACUGUUGCAACUGACCCUGUGACUACACUAUACCAGGGUCUACUUCAGGAAGCUAGCUUGGGAGACCUGGCUGUAUGUCCACUUCUAACUGCAGAGAAAAUUUUCUGCAGAGUAAAAUUGAAACUA